UCUUCCGUAGUAUAGUGGUCAGUAUGUGAGCUUGUCAUUGGACUUCCAGUCCUGACUUCGCUCGAGACCCGGGUUCAAUUCCCGGCGGGAGAG